UAUUAAACACGAGUGGAGGACAACACUUGAUAAGUUAAAUUGCUGCCUUUUAUUACACUUGACGGAUUAUCAAAAGGAAACGGACCGAUAUUACUGGUUCGUUAACAAUUAGUACCUAAUACGAAGGUAUAUAAAAUAAAACGGUGCCCUCCCAGUGAUAGUGCGCCACUCGGCUACAAGUGCAACAGUUAACCGUACAGUUAAUCAAUCAAUUAUGGAUUACAAACUCGUUUUUUUCGUCGCUUUGAUGAUGGCGUCAGCUAUGAGUGCCUCGCGGGGUCCAUCUUGCCCCUGUCCAAAAAUAUACAUGCCUGUGUGUGCUAUGGUGUCCAAUCGUAAAACCACAUUCAACAGCAUGUGUGAAUACCAAUGCGAACAAAACUUCGUCUUACACAAUGGAGGGACCAUGGAGUUACUUUACACUGGAUCACGGUGUCAAUAAGCUGUACCGCGUCUUCCCUUUGCCUAACCUUACCUCUCUUUGUUUUUAAAUAUAUUUUUUUUUAUUUACAGCACAGAGUUUUUUUUUCACUUUUUGUAAUGUUGCCAGAGCACUUAUUUAUUUUUAUAUUAAUUUAUUAUGUAUUUAUUUUACAGCAAUGUUUAUAUCGCAAAUUAGAUAGAUAAGUAGGCUUUGCACUUAUCCUCUAAUUAAACAAGAAACACACAAUGGUAUCUAUUAUUUUAAAGUCGAACUGAAUUUGUAACACACAAGUUUUAACGCAUAAUUUCUGAUUGGGCAAACCCAAUAGACCUGAUAGGUCCUAAGGCCAACCAAGGAGAUAAACCACGAAUGCUGUGUGGGCUGUUGAACGGUAACGCAUCCACAGCCUGCUCUAGACAAACAUAGUAGUUCAAUUAAAAGCAAUAGUAGAUAGGUAUCUACCAUGUUACCUUUAGGUACGCGCUCUUAAGCAUUUCAAACUAGUUUUGUUAUUGCUCCAGCUGUUUUCCAUAAACAUACCACUUAGAUAUCACAACACGAAAACAAUUAUCUAAUUCGGACUAGCAGUUUCUGAUAUUCCCUACCUUUAGAAAAAUACUAUAACGGAAAAUGCGCCAACAAUACAAUAUUUAUUUAUUUAAUACAAGAAUCUGCAAUUCUGCAUUGUUUGCAAUCCAUCAUUAGCACCAUACCCACCAAUUCCCGAUUGCACUGCAGCACUAAGGCACCGAGCGAGUAUUAUGGGAGCGAAUAUGAUGUAUUUUUCAUUUUUGUCGUGGUGGCUUUCCUAGCCACGGUAUCGGAGGCUAAGGGACCAAGCUGGACUGGGGUCGACUGUAUAUGUACCACGGAGUAUGAUCCGGUCUGCGGCUCUGACAUGGUCAGGUACAGCAACUACUGCGUGUUCAAAUGCAGGGUCCAAUACCUGAAGGACAAAGGCCUCCCGCCCAUCUACCAAGUUCCUUGCUACGAUCUACCUCCACUCUUUGGAUAAAAUGCUUGGCAGUUACUGAUGUGAUGUAAAUUGUGAACCACUAUUCGUUAACUAUUCUUAUUAAA